rnacentral:ncRNA from 1 species
UUCCGAAAAAGGCAAAUUUGUCGAAAGAUGAAGACGCAAAGUUUCAGACCUAACGCCUAACGGCUAUGGUGGCUGAACUACCGAA